AUCUUCCACAAUGGGCGAAAGCCUGAUGGAGCAACGCCGCGUGAGUGAAGAAGGUUUUCGGAUCGUAUAACUCUGUUGUAAGGGAAGAACAAGUACAGUAGUAACUUGUUGUACCUUGACGGUACCGUAUUAGUAAGCCACGGCUAACUACGUGCCAUCAGCCGCGGUAAUACGUAGGUGGCAAGCGUUGUCCGGAAUUAUUGGGCGUAAAGCGCGCGCAGGCGGUCCGUUAAGUCUGAUGUGAAAGCCCACGGCUCAACCGUGGAGGAUCAUUGGAAACUGGGGGACUUGAGUGCAGAAGAGGAAAGUGGAAUUCCAAGUGUAGCGGUGAAAUGCGUAGAGAUUUGGAGGAACACCAGUGGCGAAGGCGACUUUCUGGUCUGUAACUGACGCUGAGGCGCGAAAGCGUGGGGAGCAAACAG
rnacentral:rRNA from 1 species